UGCGAGAUACGGUAGUGGCUACCGAGUGGUCUCAUAAGCCAACUAGGUGAGUUCGAUUCUCACUCUCGCAACCA
rnacentral:tRNA from 1 species